rnacentral:rRNA from 1 species
AGGGCACCACCAGGAGUGGAGCCUGCGGCUUAAUUUGACUCAACACGGGAAAACUCACCCGGCCCGGACACUGGAAGCAUUGACAGAUUGAGAGCUCUUUCUUGAUUCAGUGGGUGGUGGUGCAUGGCCGUUCUUAGUUGGUGGAGUGAUUUGUCUGGUUAAUUCCGAUAACGAACGAGACUCUAGCCUACUAAAUAGAUCGUCGGCUUACAAACGCCGGUGAGACUUCUUAGAGGGACAGGCGGUGAUUCAACCGCACGAAACAGAGCAAUAACAGGUCUGUGAUGCCCUUAGAUGUCCGGGGCCGCACGCGCGCUACACUGAAGUGAUCAGCGUGCUUUUUCAACCUACUCUGUCAAGAGUGGGGAACCCAAUGAACCUUCUUCGUGAUUGGGAUAGGGGAUUGUAAUUAUUCCCCUUGAACGAGGAAUUCCCAGUAAGCGCGAGUCAUAAGCUCGCGUUGAUUACGUCCCUGCCCUUUGUAUACACCGCCCGUCGCUACUACCGAUUGAAUGUUUU